rnacentral:rRNA from 1 species
CCUACGGGAGGCAGCAGUGGGGAAUUUUCCGCAAUGGGCGAAAGCCUGACGGAGCAAUGCCGUGUGAAGGUGGAAGGCCCUCGGGUCGUCAACUUCUUUUCUCGGAGAAGAAACAAUGACGGUAUCUGAGGAAUAAGCAUCGGCUAACUCUGUGCCAGCAGCCGCGGUAAU